GCCAGGCGCGGUGGUGCAUGCCUGUAGUCCCAGCUACUCGGGAGGCUGAGGCAGGAGGAUCACUUGAGUCCAGGAGUUCUGGGCUGUAGUGUGCUAUGCUACUUGGGUGCCUGUACUAAGGUCAGCAUCAAUAUGGUGACCUCCCAGGAGUGGGGGACCACCAGGUUGCCUAAGGAGGGGUGAACCAGCCCAGAUCGGAAACGGAGCAGGUCAUUAAGGCAGGGACGGAUGAUGGAACAGAGGUGCUCACCUUAUAGCAGCCAGGAAGCAGAGUGAAAACAUCCAAGUUAGCUGGUUCCUCCU
rnacentral:SRP_RNA from 1 species